rnacentral:rRNA from 1 species
CCUAUGUCAAGUUCAGAAAAAAUAUCUCUCACAGAAGGACAGCUUUUAAGUCAAGAUGAUAGCACAAAGUAUAGGAGUCUAGUGGGUGCACUCCAAUAUCUCACACUUACUAGACCUGAUAUUUCAUUUGCUGUCAACAAAGUCUGUCAGUUUCUCCAUGCACCUACUUCAGUUCACUGGACUGCUGCUAAACGUAUUGUUCGCUAUGUCAAGAAUACUGCCAAUAUUGGUUUGAAUUUCAGCAAGUCAUCCUCUAUACUUGUAAGUGCUUUUUCAAACUCUGACUGGGCAGGUUGCUUGGAUGAUAGAAGGUCCACUGGUGGCUUUGCAAUUUUCUUUCGCCCAAACUUAAUAUCCUGGUGUGCAAGAAAACAAGCCACUGUUUCCAGGUCCAGUACAGAGGCAGAGUAUAAGGCACUGGCAAAUGCCACAGCUGAGGUCAUAUGGGUACAAUCCAUGUUAAAAGAACUUGGUGUCAGGAGUAGUCAAGUUCCUUGUUUAUGGUGUGAUAACUUGGGUGCUACAUAUUUAUCUACC